AACAACAGCCUCUUUCUUCUCCCAACAUGAGCCACAGUAAGCCUUGUGGUUGGACUUUAUUUUUGCAUCAAAUAUGCCCAAACAACUACCAACACGUGUGUUAUUUUGUGGCAAACUUUUUAAGGACGACAAUACAACUGUGAAUUAGCUGGACAUCUGUCACUUUCCCCGGAAUCGAUACCAACUCUCAUUGGAACAGCAGAGUUCAAAGGGACGAGGGAUUCGGAACGAAGACUGAUGGCUGCAGACUGCACUCACUGGGUGAAAACGCCUCGCUGGCAAGAUGGCAGUAUUAUUCUUCCCGUGACAGGUCGGCUCAGGGCGACACUCCUUCACACAGAACAGAUGAAACGCUGACAUGCAAACGCGCCGAAGGAGAAAAAAAAUAAAAACAAGACGAGGCUGUCAGCAUUUUGCCAGCUCUCUCGCUCUCUACUGUUAAAGCAAGCCAGUUAAACGUUGAUUUGAUCUUUUCAUUCCACUCAUAAAUUGACUGAGUUUAACUAAUUUGGUUUGAUGCAAUAAUAGAACAAAUAUAUAUUAUAUCCCAAAGCUGACAGAACAAAAGUCCAGUAAAUAAAAAUAAAUUCAAAUAGUUUAUUUUGGAAGCAACAGCAGGCAAACAUCACUUUUAUUCUAAAAGCGAAACACAUUAAGAAAACCUCUGGGGGGGAAAAAAAAACACUUGAAAUGAUGCACACAUCAUCUGUAGAAAAUGAUCAAAAUAAUCAUUUUAGGAUAUAGUGUCUCAUUAAUUUCUUUUCAUAUCAAUAAAGACUCAUUAAAACAGUCCGUUAAUUCUGUAACCUCGCCGUCCUUAAAGUGCAAAUGAGUAAACAUUUCAUUCCUGCGAUCAAAAGGUAGUAAUUUUUCGCUGCGUGCACGCCAUAAUUAUACAAACACACACAGCAGGCACCCUUCUAAUUAAUACCCCAGCACAAAAAACAAACAAUAGCGUAGAAAGAAGUACACAACAAUACAACAAAA